UUGAAGACGCUACGUCUUCAUAGAGAUAUGUUGGAAGCACUAGACAAUGUAUGUGAAGGCCACCUGACAUUGAAGCUUCGGUUUAGCUGCCGGUGGAAAUAACAUACUUGAAGUAUAUGGUUCUAUGCAUGAUAUUUGGUUUUUCAUCUCCAGAAGCUUACUCAAACCCCAAAGGUGCCAGCUGCAGAUACUGCUUAUUGCUAUAAUGCUUCAUCUUUCUUAACAAAGUCUAGUAAAUGAUGACAACAAAGGAGAUGCAGCUCACCCAUAUUUUUGUAAGAAGGUACUUGACUCGCAUCUUAUCUUUAACUGAAACCUAUUAUUAGAUC